rnacentral:lncRNA from 1 species
CAUUGCUUUAUCUACAUGAGUCGGGAAGACUGGAGAUAAGAGUGGGAUAGACAUGCAGCCUUGUUUCUGUCGAGCACCAGAAGCCUGCAUCAGGUCCGCUGGACAUCUCCCUUUGGAUGUCUCGUCGAGAGAUUAUUAGUACAACAGGAGACGAGGAGCUAAAGGUAAGGCAGACCCUAUGUAUUUUUCUCCUCGUCUCUGCUUCUCAGACUUGUCCUUUUGGAGAGCAGUGAUAAAGCAGAUGGAUUUAGUUUUUAUGUCAGUCAUCAUCAGCUGGGUGGAAGUUUUUGUGUGAAAGAAAAGGCUAGCAUUAAAUUGAUUGAUGGUUCAUUUUUCCUAUUUGCUCCUUGGUCAUUGGAGUGACACCAGGAGGGCUGUCUCGUUAGAGGAGUGUGAGACAAUGGCUCUGACACACACAGAAUUCAUCGCUUGUAAUUGAUCCCUGGAAAUAGCAUAGUCACACAUCGUCCCCAAUAAAUUUGCCUGCUGAACUACUUGGGACAAUCUACCCUGCACUUUUUUCAAAGGCUAUAAGAAAUUAACAGCAUGUAAUCUCACAAGGAAUAUUUGUCAUCGAAUUUCUCCAACAAAUGGGAGAUGACAAAUAUUUCACAUGUGGAUUAAUAAUUUCACCUUUGAGUUUUCUUCAUUUCCGGUCACAACCAGGCCAUACAAGAUGUACAAAUGUGUGAUUUCAGGCACAGCUGUGGUUGUACAAGGCACAGGUGUUGUGUCCUAGCAGACUUUAGCCUUAGAUCCUAUUGUUGUUAUCACUCCCCUUAUCAAAACAUCCAGGGUUUUUGCCCUAGCAGGUGAUGCUCCAAGAAGGAAGGAAGAAAUAAUUCUCCAACUGGACCCACUAUUGUCCACCAGGGUUUACUUUCCCCUGGGGACUUGCUCAUAGAAAAUUCCUCUGCCACCAGCCUGCCCCCAGAAAUGGCUGCAGCCCCUUGAGUGCUCCAACACAAGUGGGGACAAAAUCUUCUGUCUCUGGCUGUCCUUAGCACAGAUAAGCCUGGCUGGACCUGUCAGAGAAAAUUGAAGAACAAAAGGAGCACACAGGAGGGAUAAACACAAAGAAGGCAAGAAUGAUAAAAUGCUCUGCUUAGAAAGUGCAAAUUUCUGAACCUGCCUGAGCCACCGAGCUCUGAAGGCUCAAGGGCCCUUCUCUUUCUAUAAUUUUCUCCUGAGGAUGAUGCUAUGCUUAACCUGAAAAGAGAGCAGGGCGCCUGACUUCCUGGCUUCUCAGCAAUGGUGUCACUAGUUAUAGAUGCCUCUCCGCAGAAAGUCUGAGUUCUCCUUUUGUUCUUCUCAUGCAGACAGUAUCAAAGCAGCUCACCCUUCUUCCAGCAGGAAACGUGAAUGUGUGAAAAGAGCGACCAUUUGUUAGACUCUGUUUCUGGCCCAGCAUCAUGAUGUUUCUUAGGGUAAGGGGCAGGGGAGGAUGGAGAGGCAAUAGUGAAGAAACUGUUUUGUGAUUCAGAGGAAAGAGCAAGGUGACAAAAAAAAAAAAGGACCAUGAUUUAAUUUUAAUUAAAAUUAAAUAGGCAUACAUGACUGGUGGUUAAUGUUUUAGUGAAGCUCAAGAGACUAAGCGUGGCAGGGGCCCAGCAGAAAGUAGGUCCAGCAUCUCUGCCGCAAAGGCAAAGUCAUCCCCCGUCCUGCCCUGCCCCGCUCCACCCCGCCUGCUGGUCAAGGCCCCUCUGUCUCCCUCCUCCUGAAAGAGCACUGGACUAGAGUGUAGGUCAAGAGUGGCAAUGAUUUGGCUGUUGGCUAGUGGCAUCCUGCCCUAGCCUGGCUGUUUGUGCCCACAACCACCCACCAGCCUGAAGGAUCAGGUUGCUGCUUUGAUUUAGCCUCUCUAUUGCCACUCAGCCCGCACCUUUGCUGUCUCACCCUCCUGUACAGUGAGGCCUUUCCCUGUCCAUUUGAUUCCUAUUAGAGAACCAGGCAUUUCCCCGGUGACGGUGGAAAUAAGGUAUUCCAGGUGCACGCUGUAAGGAAGGCGCAUGCGCGCAUAUGCAUGCGCACACGCAUGCGCCGUCUAGACCAAGGCGGGCACCUGUUCCAUCCCAGGGAGUAGAGGCGGCCACAUUCCCAAGGGGUUCUGUUACAGGCGGCCACAGGCUCCAAAGCCCAGAGCUGAUUCUGCUCUGGCUCCACUUCUUUCCUCUGCUGUCUGCUUAGUAAAGGAGCAAAGGCCAGGCCCAAGGCCCGCAGGUCACUAUAGAGUAUGGUGACCCCUAAGAAAACAAGAUCAACCGUCUUCAGGGCCCAUCCCCAACCUGCAAGGGGUCCCUGAGUUUACUAGUUAUUUGGGGUCACAAAGAUCCCAAGCAAUUUGCACAGUCUCCUUGCUGCCACUCCUCUCCUAACCAGAAGCAACCAGGGAGCGAGACGCCACUUCACAUGGGACAAAGGUGGAUGUGAGAUGUGCAAGACCAGACCCUGAGGAAGGGCCACGGUGACCCAAGGGCUGGGCCCUUCAGCCUAAACUUACCUCUAGACUGAAAGGUGAUAGGUCCCAGGCGGAGCCCAGAGGGAGGGGGUGGGCAGCUGAGAUGGAGGCCAGGCUGGAAGGACUGGAGGGGAGCCAACACUGGUGUGUCUGCACACAGGAGCUGGGAGAGUCUCCCUAGAGCCUCAGAGCUCUUCCAGCAAAAGGUAAAGUUUGAAACCCCCCCACACACACACUCAGAGGAGUCCAGCCCUCCUGCAGCGCUCUUACACCCCAUCCCUGCAACCUGCAACUUGGCCUCCACCCCUUCCCCACACUCUGCCCCUACUAUCCGACAGAGUUUUGAGCCAGGGCCGUAGGGGCCCUGAAGGGAGGCCGGUCUUCUCUUUCACCUUGGUUCCUGGGACGCGCUGCGUCAUCAUGGCAGAGGCCAAGAGCUAGAUCCCGUGCCCGGGAUGCAGACUGAGCAGAAAGGGUGGAGGAGGCCGAGCAUGGAGUUGUGGACCAUCUCUCACCCUGCCCAGAGCCCCCAGCACCCCAGUUCUUGCCAUGUGCCCUCUUGUGGGUGCUGAUGGGGCGUGGUGAGAGAUGCAGUGCACAGCCACAGCCUCCUCUCACCAGACCCUGGGACUCACCCUCUGCCCCCCACUCUCAGACAUCUGUUGAAUCCCUGACUUCAAGCCUCACAUGGUGAAGCUCCUCCCUGUGGAAAUAAAGGGUUCAAGAAGGAUCUGGAAGGAGACAGAAACUCAGCUCAGCUGGCACAUCAAGGUCAGGGGCCUCACCUCUCCUCAUUUUAAAGAGAAAGAUCUGUAAGCAGAGGAGAGAAGCCAACCGAGUGACCCCUGAGUGGAAAUCAGGGCAGAAAUCUUUUGCAACAGAAUCCCCAUGGGAAACAUGACAAAAUUAGCAACAGGAAUGAGGUCUCCCUCGGAGGAUACAAGAAUCACUGGGUUGAAAAUAACCACAAGGUCAUCUAGUUCAGCUGCCACCACUUGCCUGAAUUUUUCCAGAAAUUUUUGGACAAGCAGUCAUCCAGCCUCAUCCAGCAGCUCAGUACUCAGCAGCCCCCUCCUGAUGGCGGGCAAGGUUUUAAAGGCCCCUGGGGCUCUCGUGCUUCCAGGGGCAGCUCGCAGAGGGCAGCGGGCAGCAGGCAGCACACAGGGGCCCGGGUCCAGCGCUUCCCUCCCUCCGGCUGCUGUGUUUAUACUCCAUUGAUUCACAGCAAAGACUCUUGGCAAGAUCAAGAUUUCUUUACACCGCUUGUGUGGCUGCUUUAGUGAACCAGCCUUAAAACAUGCUCCCGAGGAGGUCAGUUUUUGGUUAUCGUUGGCUUUAAUUCCUGGAAAAGUUCUGGAAAUCACGAUUUCAGAACCAGAAAGAGCUUUGGCAUCUCAUCCAGCCACCUCACAUGACUCGUGAGAACCGAAGGGAGCCUGGAGCCUAGGGUGGAAUUCAGACCUUAUUCCCCACUGUUCCCCCCAGUGCCCUCUGAGCUGCAGUCCCAGUGGCUCUGGGACCCUCCAGAAGGUGCUCAGUGGCCUCUCUAGGGUCUCGUGUUACCUGAUCCACUGCAGCCCUGGCCCUGUGGACUCCUCCCCGGUUCUCAGCUCCUCCCUUGGUCUUUGCAGCCCCAUUCCCGGCUAGUAGGCUGGGGAAAGGGUGUGCAGUGUCCAUGCCUUUUCAGUGCCUCGCUUUCCCAUGUCUCCACCUGUGCACAAGCCUAGAAGCGCUCCAAACUCUCUCCUUUUGGAUUUUUUUAAUGGAGGCUUCAUUGUAUUGGCUGAUUAAAUCAUCAGCCGCUGGUGAUUGAAUGUAAUCUCCAGCCCUCCCAGGAGACUGGGGUUUGUGCAGCCACUCCUUGACCACUGCCCCCUCCAACCAUUUCAGCCACUAAGUCUUAUUCCCCUUAAAAAUAGUCGUGCUUGUUUGGGCAGGUUCUCUCCACGGAUUGAGUCUUUCACAGCUACAUUUUUUGAUCAGUAUCUACCCUUUGCUUCCACUUCAUCCCCUUCCCUCCAGCUGUCACCACAGUUUUUAUCUGUCUUACGCCCCAGCGCUCCCCUGGACCUGCUCUCACCAGCGGACUUCACCUUCCUAAUUCCAGUGUUUACUUUUAGUCCCUGCCUUGCUUGAUGGCCUCAUAAUGUUUGGCACAGCUGACUGUACCCUCCCUUGUAAAAUUCUCCUUUCGCUUGGGUUCCUCGACCCGAUGUUUUUCUCCUAACUUCCGAGUAGGCUCUUUUGCCUACGUGACCCAGGCCUUGAAAUCCUGGAGUCACGUGGCACUCUGUCCCGGAGCUCCUUCCUGAGUCAGCCCACCUCUUUCCUCGUGAUCCCAUCCGCCCCGGUGACUUGGCUCGCCAUCUGUCUGUAAACGAAUGGCCCUUUAAUCUGUGGCACCUGCUCAGACUUGCUCCUGAGCCAGAAUGUCACCACGGGAUGUUGCAUAUGUAUAGCUCUCUGACCCUCGAUGUGUCAGAAGCUGACUCAGAACCUUCUCCCUGGUCUCACCGUCACCACCCAUCACUCUGCAUCCCAGGAAACAGCUUACACUUGCUAUUCAAGGCAGACCCUGAGGGCCUUGAACCCCUUUCCCUUCUUAACCACCCCACUCCUCUUCUAAUAGGCUCUAAGGUCAUGUCCUUCUCUCUAAUGCAGCUGUCCCAGGCUCUGACCAUCACUUCUUAUUUGCAUGUAGCAGACACCUCUAACCACACCUCCCUGUGUCCACUCUUGACUUCUUCCAAUCCAUUCUCAUGUUGCAGCCAGAGAGGAUUUUACAAGGCGCACAUGGGAUUAUGUCACCUGACUGUUUCAAAGCCUUCAAUGGUCCCCAUGUUUAGGAUGGCACCCCAAACCUCAACAUGGCUGGAUUUCUGUCUCACAAUGCUUUUUCUCAAACACAGCUCUCCAGCUUAAUUCAACACUUUCAUUUCUUCCAAUGCCUCCACUCUUUUUCAUGUCUAAUUAGUUAGCAUUCCCUGCCCAUUAGAUUUAAAUUUAAAGACCCAUGACGUUAUGAAUCUGUUUUAUUCACCACUAUACAUAUAUAGCAAUUAGCACAAUGUCUGACAAAUAUUUGGAAACUACAUGAUUUAUUUAUUCAGAAAAUAGUUUUUAAAUGCCUGGUCUGUGUCAAGCUCCAUUCUUGAUUCUUGGUGAUGUGGAAAUAUUUUUUUUAAAAGAGAGACAAAACCCUUUGCCCUUAAGGAGUUAUAUUCUACUAGAGAGAGAGAAACACAAUGAGAAGAAUAGGUGGUAUAUCUGAUGGUGAUAACUGCCAAAGAAAAAAAUUAAGUAGGGAAGGAGGGGGGAUAAAGAAAGAAAGGAGGCAGACAGAAGGAGAGAUGGAGAGACAGAGGGAAGGAGAGAUGGAGAGACAGAGGGAAGCAAGCAGUUAUUUGGGGGAAGAACAUUCCAACAAGGAGAGUGGCAAGUUCAAAGGUCCUGGAUGGAUAUAUGCCUUCAGAGUUCAUGGCCAGAAAGAAGGUCAGUAUGACUAGAGAGAAUGAGGCAGGGAGAGCAGUGGAAGAUCAGUGUGGAGACUCGAAGGGCUCCCUGAUGCAGGGCUGGUGGUCCUGAGGGAGCUGUCGCCGUGUCUGCAACGCGGAGCUGCUGGAGCGCUCUGGGUAGAGGGGUGCUGUGGCAGGACGAGGAUUUCAGCGGUCUCACUCAGCAUGCCAGCAUGCUCUGUUGGAAACAAACUGAACAGGAGUAAAGAUGGGAGCAAAAGUGCCUGGUAGGAGGCUGCUGCCGCCACCCAGGUGAUCCAUAAUGGCAGCUGCAACCAGGGUGGUAGCAGAGAGGUUGAAUCCUUUACACAUCGUGAAGGUAGAGGUGACACAGUUUCCUGAUGAUCGGAAUGUAGCAUUUACGAGAAAGAGGAAUCGAGAACGAUUCCAACGGUAACCCUAAGUUUGGUUUCGGAAUCUUGGAAUCUGUUUCUGUUUUGUAAGUUCUGUGGUAUCAAAUGCCACGGGUUAGUGAUGUCAUGUUACUUGUUUUUCCAAGUGGGAAAUGAGGGGAGAGAAAUAAUUUGGGAGGUUGGGACUAACAUAUACACACUGUGAUAUAUAAAAUAGAUAAGUAACAAGGACCUACUUCCCAGCACAGGGAAAUCUAUUCAAUGAUGUACAGGGGAAAAGAGACUGAAAAGGAAUGAUUUUAUGUAAGUGUGUGUGUGUGUGUGUGUGUGUGUGUGUGUGUGAUUCACUUUGCUGUGCACCUGAAACUAACACAACAUUGUAAGUCAAUUACACUCCAAUAAAA